GCCUACGGGGCGCAGCAGUAGGGAAUCUUCCACAAUGGGCGAAAGCCUGAUGGAGCAACGCCGCGUGGGUGAAGAAGGUCUUCGGAUCGUAAAACCCUGUUGUUAGAGAAGAAAGUGCGUGAGAGUAACUGUUCACGUUUCGACGGUAUCUAACCAGAAAGCCACGGCUAACUACGUGCCAGCAGCCGCGGUAAUACGUAGGUGGCAAGCGUUAUCCAGAUUUAUUUGGCGUAAAGGGAACGCAGGCGGUCUUUUAAGUCUGAUGUGAAAGCCUUCGGCUUAACCGGAGUAGUGCAUUGGAAACU
rnacentral:rRNA from 1 species